CUCUCUCUCUGCCUACAGAUCAGGUUUUCAGCUACUACUCUCACAUCUCUCUGCAUGCUGCCAUGAUUCCUGCCAGACUAAACCUCUGAAACUACAAGCAAGCCCCCAAUUUACAUGCUUUUUCUAAUACUUGCCUUGGUCCUGGUGUCUCUUCACAGCAGUAGAAUACUGACCAAGACAGUGCUGAGGACUAAACUCAGGGCCUCCUGCAUUUUAGAUCACUUCUAAGAUAAAGAAAUACAACACGAUCAAAGCAAGGACAAGUAUGUAACUCAUUAUUUGGCAAAGACAGAGCCAAAGGCUCCUUCUUACCUCAAGAAUGGGACACAUAAUUUCUGCUGUGACAUCACCGUGAUCCUUACAGAAUUUGUAGAAUGCCUCAAGUUAUAAUACAACAUGAAGUGAGGAAAUUGGGGAUAAGCCAAAUUACCCAAGUCAUUGUAUUGGGACCCGGCAGAGCUUUGCCUCGUAUCUGUUCAUUCCAGACACCCUCGUCUCCACCAGGCUGCACUACCUUAGCCUCAGAUGCCUAAAGGUGACCUGGCAUGGCCUUGCCUUUUUAAAAUGUGUAAAGGAGAAGAAACAAACCCCAGUGGACAGGAGAGGGUCUGAGAGAAGCACAAUCUGCAAAAACUGAAGACUUCGACAAAGCAGCUUCACUUCCGAGAAUCCAUCCUAAAGAAAUCAUGAAAGAACAGGUAGAUGCAGGGAGGUUGCUUUCAGAAUCACUUGGAAUGCCAAGGAAAUGAAACAAGCCAGAGGUGGCACAUGCCUGCAGUACCAGAACUCUGAGUGGGGAGGAUGGUGGACACUCAGUUAACUGAGCUUUACUGCCUUUUAAAAUGAACUAACCAACCAAACAACCAACCAAUCCAUAUAGACAAAAGGGGUGAUUCAAUGCAUUAUGAUACAACAUAAUAGUCUAUGCUAUAUUCAUUGUAUAAAAUCAUCUAUAUGUAUUUAUUUUGAAAGUUCAUAACAAAUAUGAAAUAGGAAACCUCUAGACAAUGUCCACAGUGCAGUACUAUUAUCUAAGCAAAUAAUAAAGCUAAUGAUAUAAAUUUGUGCUUAUACAUAAACACGUGUUUAUAUGAAACUUUUUGAGGUGGAAUAUGUAGAAAAAAUAUCAUCAAACAUAUACAUAGUUACCAUGGAGCCUCGGGACCCGAGCACUCAGAAUGUUCCUUUAUUUAUGGAAACGCAACCCUGUUAGGACCACUCCGUGGUUACGGGGAGACUUCAGUGAGCCCACCACAUUUCAAAUGCUGGCGGAUGUUCUAUCUUACAGUGAGCGACAGAUUCUAAAACUAAGUUUUAAAGACACACUGCUUCUUUGAAAUAAAAAAAGGAAGAUAAAUAAAACUAGGGCAACAGAUAUCUGGAUCACUACCAAGGUAGACGUCAGGCUGUACCCUGAGAACCCAGGUUAUGAAACAGCCGAGUCUCUUCAAGCCAUAGCUAGGGAGAAGAGAGACUGGAAAUCAGGUUACCAGGAUCCACCGCGCCCCCUGGUGGAUGAUUGAUGGCUCGGCGGCUCACGGUCCAAGCCCCAAGGAAAGCCCAUGCCUUGGGCCGUGAUUGCAUCCCACGAGAAGGUCAGUUGCAGACUGACGUCCUAAGCUCCUCCACACCCACUACGUGAGUAUCCUUCAUCCUCGGACGCCACUUGCGCUAAUUCUCAGUUGGCAGCGGCAGCUCAGCAGCAGUAUUAGUUCAACUGGUCUCUGCUUUCCUGGCUGGGUUCACCUCGGGUCUGGCCACUCCGCACAGAAACAUAAGCUCCUCCUUCAAAGCUGGGCUGGGGCAUCUGCCACCUUCACGUAUCCUGCCCUCUCUCUCCCAGGUGAACACUGUGCUGGCAUUUGCAAGUAAAAUGCCCUACAUUUUCAAAGCACAUUUGGACAUUUCUUUAAAACGUAGUAUUUUUUAUUGAUUAUUCGGAAAUCUCACGUAACACACCUGGGUCACGUCCACUCCCCAGCCGCCCCCCUCAGGCGCAUCCCUCACCUUGUCUCCUCCAAAAUAAAAGAAUAAGAAAACAAGAGACAAGAAGUACCGCGUCCUGUUUGCGUUGCCGUAUACCGAAAUGGUCCAACUCCCAGUGGCCAGCGCCCUCAAGAUAACUGAGUCCUUCUCUCCCAUCAGAAGCCACCAGGCGUGAAGACCUACACUUGACAUCCCGCCCCAGGUUUUAAGUCACCUUGCGGCUUACAGCCAGCGGCAGCACAGGCCGCGGACAUGCGCAUAGCCCUUGGUGGUCACGGGACACAGUUCGUAGCCCAGGCACGACUCGACGUUUUUGAGCUAAGGUACAACGGCUGGGUUUGCUUCUCGUGUUAGCACGUAUGUUUACAGGUGACUUUCACAAAUCUGUGAUUUACGUACCACCCCAGGGACCCACAUGUGGUUUAACCAUAUCCCGUUUUCUCUUGAAAUUAUUAAACAUUUUAAACCAAA